rnacentral:rRNA from 1 species
CGGCAGGCCUAACACAUGCAAGUCGAACGGUAACAGGAAGCAGCUUGCUGCUUUGCUGACGAGUGGCGGACGGGUGAGUAAUGUCUGGGAAACUGCCUGAUGGAGGGGGAUAACUACUGGAAACGGUAGCUAAUACCGCAUAACGUCGCAAGACCAAAGAGGGGGACCUUCGGGCCUCUUGCCAUCGGAUGUGCCCAGAUGGGAUUAGCUUGUUGGUGGGGUAACGGCUCACCAAGGCGACGAUCCCUAGCUGGUCUGAGAGGAUGACCAGCCACACUGGAACUGAGACACGGUCCAGACUCCUACGGGAGGCAGCAGUGGGGAAUAUUGCACAAUGGGCGCAAGCCUGAUGCAGCCAUGCCGCGUGUAUGAAGAAGGCCUUCGGGUUGUAAAGUACUUUCAGCGGGGAGGAAGGGAGUAAAGUUAAUACCUUUGCUCAUUGACGUUACCCGCAGAAGAAGCACCGGCUAACUCCGUGCCAGCAGCCGCGGUAAUACGGAGGGUGCAAGCGUUAAUCGGAAUUACUGGGCGUAAAGCGCACGCAGGCGGUUUGUUAAGUCAGAUGUGAAAUCCCCGGGCUCAACCUGGGAACUGCAUCUGAUACUGGCAAGCUUGAGUCUCGUAGAGGGGGGUAGAAUUCCAGGUGUAGCGGUGAAAUGCGUAGAGAUCUGGAGGAAUACCGGUGGCGAAGGCGGCCCCCUGGACGAAGACUGACGCUCAGGUGCGAAAGCGUGGGGAGCAAACAGGAUUAGAUACCCUGGUAGUCCACGCCGUAAACGAUGUCGACUUGGAGGUUGUGCCCUUGAGGCGUGGCUUCCGGAGCUAACGCGUUAAGUCGACCGCCUGGGGAGUACGGCCGCAAGGUUAAAACUCAAAUGAAUUGACGGGGGCCCGCACAAGCGGUGGAGCAUGUGGUUUAAUUCGAUGCAACGCGAAGAACCUUACCUGGUCUUGACAUCCACGGAAGUUUUCAGAGAUGAGAAUGUGCCUUCGGGAACCGUGAGACAGGUGCUGCAUGGCUGUCGUCAGCUCGUGUUGUGAAAUGUUGGGUUAAGUCCCGCAACGAGCGCAACCCUUAUCCUUUGUUGCCAGCGGUCCGGCCGGGAACUCAAAGGAGACUGCCAGUGAUAAACUGGAGGAAGGUGGGGAUGACGUCAAGUCAUCAUGGCCCUUACGACCAGGGCUACACACGUGCUACAAUGGCGCAUACAAAGAGAAGCGACCUCGCGAGAGCAAGCGGACCUCAUAAAGUGCGUCGUAGUCCGGAUUGGAGUCUGCAACUCGACUCCAUGAAGUCGGAAUCGCUAGUAAUCGUGGAUCAGAAUGCCACGGUGAAUACGUUCCCGGGCCUUGUACACACCGCCCGUCACACCAUGGGAGUGGGUUGCAAAAGAAGUAGGUAGCUUAACCUUCGGGAGGGCGCUUACCACUUUGUGAUUCAUGACUGGGGUGAAGUCGUAACAAGGUAACCGUAGGGGAACCUGCGGUUGGAUCACCUCCUUACCUUAAAGAAGC